rnacentral:rRNA from 1 species
UGCGUAGGUGGUUUGUUAAGUCAGAUGUGAAAGCCCCGGGCUCAACCUGGGAAUUGCAUUUGAUACUGGCAGACUAGAGUGCGGUAGAGGAGAGUGGAAUUCCCGGUGUAGCAGUGAAAUGCGUAGAGAUCGGGAGGAACAUCAGUUGCGAAGGCGGCUCUCUGGACCAGCACUGACACUGAGGCACGAAAGCGUGGGGAGCAAACAGGAUUAGAUACCCUGGUAGUCC